rnacentral:lncRNA from 1 species
UGUUUCAGGCGCUUCGGGACUACAAUCCCAGCAUAACCCGGGCUUGGGGACGGGGCGCAGUUCUCGUGGGAGGAGCGGGGCGGUGAGAGCCUGGCUAGGCAGGCUGGAAACGGUAGCUCUUAACGGUUCCCCGCCCGUUGGUGGCAAGGCGGCUGGACUGGAAUCCCAGCAGGCGACAUGCGAGGAGGCGGGCAGCCCAGGAGGGUUGGACACGGCAGUGUGGACCUCGCCGCUUCCACAACGAUGCUGGCUACUGAUCACGUGCACUUCCUUGCCAAGAGAAAUUAAUGUUAUGACUGGAUGAAGACAAUUGUGAAGAAACCGCACUUUGAGGUUGUCUAUCUCUGUAUUCUGAUGGAAAAGCGUGGAGUUCAGAAGCACUGCUCGCUCCUUCAGUUUCUAACAAGUUUGAGACUAUGGUUAGGUGGUGAGGAAGGCAGGCUCAGCACCCAAGCCUUGGGGAGAUGCAGAAAGGGCCCAUCCCAGGCACUCAGGUGGAGGUAAGCAUAGCCUUUGGGCCAUAAGACCUCAUGGCCACUGGGGUGCUGGUCAGGAAACAAGUCCUCAUCUUCCCAGAAAUGUCAUCUUUUGUCUGCAGCAGCUGGCUGGAGAAAGAUUUCAGAAAGGUGUGUGCCUGGGGCACCCAAAGGCAUGACCCUCCUUUCUCCUUGGCAUAGGCCUUACAACACUGGGGAAAGGCCAUGGUUUGCCACUGGAGCCUUCAAUAGUUUUCACCCCUAUGGAUCGAAAAGAUUGUCCAAAUAGAAGCUUAUAUAGGAUGUUA